rnacentral:rRNA from 1 species
AGCGAACAUUGGCGGUAGGCUUAACACAUGCAAGUCGAGCGAGGCGUAAUAGUCGAGCGGCGAACGGGUGCGUAAUACAUGGGAAUCUACCUCGAAGUGGGGGAUAACGUCCAGAAAUGGACGCUAAUACCGCAUAAUCCAUAUCGGGAAAGCGUUGCAGCGCUUUGAGAUGAGCCCAUGGCUGAUUAGCUUGUUGGUGAGGUAACGGCUCACCAAGGCGACGAUCAGUAGCUGGUCUGAGAGGAUGACCAGCCACACUGGAACUGAGACACGGUCCAGACUCCUACGGGAGGCAGCAGUGGGGAAUCUUGCGCAAUGGGGGCAACCCUGACGCAGCCAUGCCGCGUGAAUGAUGAAGGUCUUAGGAUUGUAAAAUUCUUUCACCGGGGACGAUAAUGACGGUACCCGGAGAAGAAGCCCCGGCUAACUUCGUGCCAGCCGCCGCCGUAA